AUUGCACUUGAAGCUUUGGGUGCAAUUUGCAAUGCCCAAAUCACUUCUGUUCAAAAACAAAGAGCAGGAGGUCACGAUGGAGCUUUCCAAAGAGCAAGCUUUUCCUGCUCCGCUGCACCAACGCUGUCUGUAAAAACUCUCAUUCGUGCAGUCGCAGAUGGAAAUCAAAGCUGCCCAAUGUCAAGAAACAACUUUGACAGAAUUCAACAUGUUCUGCAAGAUGGUGAAGUCAAACAGAAACCUGAUUGAUUUGAGCUCUCUGCUUAUCAAGUGGAGUCCUGAGGACAAGACUGAGAACAAUGCUCCCCUCAUCAGCCUGUCCUUCUGAUCAUCAUCCUCCUUAAGUACUGGAUCUGUGCACAUUA